rnacentral:rRNA from 1 species
AACGAACGCUGGCGGCAUGCCUAACACAUGCAAGUCGAACGAGACCUUCGGGUCUAGUGGCGCACGGGUGCGUAACGCGUGGGAAUCUGCCCUGGGGUGCGGAAUAACUCGGAGAAAUCCGUGCUAAUACCGCAUAAUGUCUUCGGACCAAAGAUUUAUCGCCCUGGGAUGAGCCCGCGUAGGAUUAGCUAGUUGGUGGGGUAAAGGCCUACCAAGGCGACGAUCCUUAGCUGGUCUGAGAGGAUGAUCAGCCACACUGGGACUGAGACACGGCCCAGACUCCUACGGGAGGCAGCAGUGGGGAAUAUUGGACAAUGGGCGAAAGCCUGAUCCAGCAAUGCCGCGUGAGUGAUGAAGGCCCUAGGGUUGUAAAGCUCUUUACCCGGGAUGAUAAUGACAGUACCGGGAGGAAUAAGGACUCCGGCUAACUCCGUGCCAGCAGCCGCGGU